rnacentral:lncRNA from 1 species
ACUGACACUAGGGGUCCAAAUGUGUUUUUUGUGCGUCCGGUCAUGAGGAAUCUGCGUACCAAUUUUCGUCCUUCUAUGUUACAUGUAGGAGGCGGGGCAUCACAAUAGGUGGCGCUACAGAGCCCACACGUCACGGCCACGCCCCAUGACUACACAGAUCUCAUCAGGGCGACUCCCUCUGCAUUCCUUAGAGAUUUGGUCGGGAUAAGACAUUGUAUGAAGAAGUUAUGAUGAUACGAUGUUUUACGGCGAAGGAUUCCAAUUGCCCGCUCCACUGUGGCCAGCAGGUAUGGCUGUCUCCCCAAAUAAAUCUCAGCAUCAAUACUAAGUCGGCCAUUUUGAUUUUGGACGCCAUUUUGAAAUAUCGCCAAUCUUCGUACUUAAAUUAUCUCCUCCUACAGAUGUAACACCACCGACUUCAAAGUCACUCAGUAGCAUCCUCUGACCUUGAAGAUGAAAAGUUAUUAAAAUCUUUAUCCUACGUCAUUCCUGCUGGCAGUUGCGGAGCCCGCCAUAACAAUCCUUCGCCAUGAAGCAUCAAGUCCUGAUAUCUCCUUCAUACUAUUUCCUGGCUCGGCCAAAUCUAGAGGGAAUCUAGAGGGAGUCGCCCUGAAUAGAUCUUUGCAUCAAUACUGUGUCAUAUCCAUAGCGCCACCCACUGGAAACCCACUGGAAACAUGAAGUAAGUUUUAUCGCAGUCAAUUUUGGCGCCCCUACAUGCAUGUACAUGAAUGAAAUUUGGCAUGCAUGUGUGUUAUGAGAAGAUGCACAAAUGACUCAUUUACACCCACACUCUCAGUCCAACAGGAAGUGGUCUAUUUAGCUUAGAAGCACAUGAAUGUAUGAUGUACGUGAUACAAGUCGCCACUAGAUGGCACUGUGUCUUUCAAGGCACAUGUAUCCUAUCUAGAUAACCUCUGAAUGAUUCCAUUCAAUUCCAGUAAGUUAGCCGCAUAUUCAUCAGAUUUUAUUGAAACUUCAAAAGGUGGCAGCAUGCACUUCUUGGAAUAAAAACUGGUAAACAAAGCAGAACUUAGAUCAAAAGCUUGACACUGAUAGACAGCCAUAAAUACAUUUUUGAAAGAGGGCAAGUGAAGCAUUAUUCUGCACAUAUUUAUGUGCAGUGAUGACAAACAUAGUCAGAUGUACAUGGCAUUUGCAGGUAGUUUUGUCUGAAUUGCACGUUACAACAGGGCAUAUUUGAAUGGUAAUGGGUUGAGCCACAUAAUGGAUAAGUGAGUGGUAGUGAGCCACAGCACACAAUUUUCAAAUAAGCCAAUUUGCUAAGAAUGCCAUUUGCGUGUUGUGUCUGCCCUGUCAAUGUGGCACACAACAAGAUGUGUGUAGUUGUGAUUCUGCCCAACUCUUCCGCGAUGAACGAAGUGAAUUCCACUUCGAUAUGAAACAACUGAGUGAGUUCUUUGGUUAAACACCGCUACUGCAGGACGCUCGUCAAACCUGGUCACUUGACCGCUGUCCCUUUCCAAAAGGAAGAAUCACAUCUGGCUGCACUCCACUACCUAUCUAAAUCUGUGGCAUUCCACUUCCAUCCUCCCCUAUGAUGCGCUGCCUUCCUGCCUUCACGGUGACAACAGAAGGCAGUGUCUUAUCUGCGCCGGUGGUCGAGUGGUUGGAGUGCAUGCCACAUACGCAGUGGACCCAGGUUUGAAUUUAGGGCAGAGGAAGUUUACUGCAAGCCACAACCCCCCCUUCUCUGUCCCACUUCCAAUCUAGAGAAGGCCGUAACACUUCACACAACGUAACGGUGCAGAAUCGAUUGUCAAAACGUACCCGAUUAUUAAAUGUUUUAGAAAUCAUUCACCUGCAGCCCAUUAGGAUUUCUGUGGAUUGCACGAAGUUGUUCUGACUUCACCUGAAAGCGCUUGAUACUGGCAGGGGCAACCCACCGCGUUACAAACAAACGUUGGGAGAAGAGGCUGAUAUUCACCCCCGGCGUGCACCGUCG